UACGUAGGGUGCAAGCGUUAAUCGGAAUUACUGGGCGUAAAGCGUGCGCAGGCGGUUUUGUAAGUCUGUCGUGAAAGCCCCGGGCUCAACCUGGGAAUUGCGAUGGAGACUGCAAGGCUUGAAUCUGGCAGAGGGGGGUAGAAUUCCACGUGUAGCAGUGAAAUGCGUAGAGAUGUGGAGGAACACCGAUGGCGAAGGCAGCCCCCUGGGUCAAGAUUGACCCUCAUGCACGAAAGCGUGGGGAGCAAACAGG
rnacentral:rRNA from 1 species